rfam:Scleropages formosus scaffold10658, whole genome shotgun sequence.
GACCCAGUGGCCUAAUGGACAAGGCAUCAGCCUUCGGAGCUGAGGACUGCGGGUUCAAGUCCCACCUGGGUCA